rnacentral:lncRNA from 1 species
AAAAGCAUUUCACUUUUUCCCUUUAAUUUAUCAAUUGAAUUAGGAUUUUAAUCGGAAAGUUGUUAACGGUCUCCUAUUUAUUUUUGCUUAAAUAUGAUUAAUAAUUCGCUAAUGCUGUCUUUUCGAGUCCAUUUGUAAUAUUAACUAUAUUAUUAUCAUCAUUUCAAAUAUGUGUCUUGCCUUCUUGGUGUAUUAUUCUAGACUCUUUUCCCAGUCAGAACCCAAAUUUAAAUUUAAAAAAAAAAAAAAACAGUUUUACGUUUCGCAUGCUUUGAACUAUGUUGCAACUUGCAACUAAAUAAAGCAAGAACAAUAAAUGAACGUAAAAACAAAAACAAUUGUUUUCACCAAACUAGUUUAGUUCAGAAGACAAGCCGCGCCGGC